GAAUUCUCUCUCAGUGCCUGAGUCGAAUAUCCAACAGCACGGAACUGCCCAAGUUUUGCCUUCAGUGGAGAGAGGCUGGGCUGGCUCUCAAUAAGAUGGAGAUGUGAACUCUUAGCUGCUGUUCCAGUCCCAAGUCUGCCUGCUGCUAUGCUCUGUCAUGGUGGUCACAGAUUCUAACUCUCUGAAACUACACCAAUAAACUUUUUCUUCUA